ensembl:ncRNA T20B12.11 ncRNA
CCUCGAUUUUUUGAUGUGUUGUGUCAUCGUCGGGUACGGCAAAGUAGCAGAAUGGUUUUUUCGGCUUUUCUGGCUGCUUUUUUCGAACUGUAAGACAAGAUUUUGAACAAUAGCUGAUAAAAUUAAAGAGGGAACUUACAUUCAAUAUA